rnacentral:rRNA from 1 species
UAACACAUGCAAGUCGAGGGGUAGCAGGAUGUAGCAAUACAUUGCUGACGACCGGCGCACGGGUGAGUAACACGUAUUCAACCUACCUUCUACAGGGNGAAUAGCCCGGAGAAAUUCGGAUUAAUACGCCAUAAUCCAAUAGUACCGCAUGGUAUUAUUGUUAAAGAUUUAUCGGUAGAAGAUGGGCAUGCGUUCCAUUAGCCAGUUGGUGAGGUAACGGCUCACCAAAGCUACGAUGGAUAGGGGAACUGAGAGGUUUAUCCCCCACACUGGAACUGAGACACGGUCCAGACUCCUACGGGAGGCAGCAGUGAGGAAUAUUGGUCAAUGGACGAGAGUCUGAACCAGCCAAGUCGCGUGAAGGAUGACGGUCCUACGGAUUGUAGACUUCUUUUGUAUGGGAGUAAAAAGGGCUACGUGUAGCCUCUUGCAAGUACCAUACGAAUAAGCAUCGGCUAACUCCGUGCCAGCAGCCGCGGUAAUACGGAGGAUGCGAGCGUUAUCCGGAUUUAUUGGGUAUCCACCUGGGGAGUACGCCGGCAACGGUGAAACUCAAAGGAAUUGACGGGGGCCCGCACAAGCGGAGGAACAUGUGGUUUAAUUCGAUGAUACGCGAGGAACCUUACCCGGGCUUGAAAUGCAUCUGACCGCUUAAGAAAUUAGGCUUCUAGCAAUAGCAGAUGUGUAGGUGCUGCAUGGUUGUCGUCAGCUCGUGCCGUGAGGUGUCGGCUUAAGUGCCAUAACGAGCGCAACCCACAUUGUUAGUUACUAACAGGUUAAGCUGAGGACUCUGACAAGACUGCCAGCGUAAGCUGUGAGGAAGGGGGGGAUGACGUCAAAUCAGCACGGCCCUUACGUCCGGGGCGACACACGUGUUACAAUGGAUGGUACAGAGGGUCGCUACCUAGUGAUAGGAUGCUAAUCUCAAAAGCCAUUCCCAGUUCGGAUUGGAGUCUGCAACUCGACUCCAUGAAGCUGGAUUCGCUAGUAAUCGCGCAUCAGCCAUGGCGCGGUGAAUACGUUCCCGGGCCUUGUACACACCGCCCGUCAAGCCAUGGAAGNCUGGGGGUACCUGAAGUACGUAACCGNCAAGGAGCG